GACGAACGCUGGCGGCGUGCUUAACACAUGCAAGUCGAACGGAAAGGCCCCUUCGGGGGUACUCGAGUGGCGAACAGGUGAGUAACACGUGAGUAACCUGCCCUUGACUUCGGGAUAACUUCAGGAAACUGGGGCUAAUACCGGAUAGGAAUCCUUGCUGCAUGGUGGGGGUUGGAAAGCUUCGGCGGUUUUGGAUGGACUCGCGGCUUAUCAGCUUGUUGGUGGGGUAGUGGCUUACCAAGGCUUUGACGGGUAGCCGGCCUGAGAGGGCGACCGGCCACAUUGGGACUGAGAUACGGCCCAGACUCCUACGGGAGGCAGCAGUGGGGAAUAUUGCACAAUGGGCGGAAGCCUGAUGCAGCAACGCCGCGUGCGGGAUGACGGCCUUCGGGUUGUAAACCGCUUUCAGCAGGGGCGAAGCUUGUGGUGACGGUACCUGCAGAAGAAGCACCGGCUAACUACGUG
rnacentral:rRNA from 1 species